CUGUUAUGAACAAAAUCAAAAAGUAUGAGAAAUGGCAAUUUUCUAGUUUUGAAUUUGAACUUUAAUUAGAACCAUGAAAAGGCCCCCAUUGGAACAGACUAAUAACCUACCCAGGCUUUUUUGUUAAAAAUGUUGAGUGUUGACUGUUCAUAAAUGGAUUCUUUGAAAAAUUUCCUAUCCUAUAUCCUAAAUGUUAUGUCACAGGAAAGAAACUCAUCUCUUUAAGGAUUAGUAAUGAAUUUAUUCUCCUCCCAUCCCUUUCCCCAAGUGAAACAGGUAUUUCAUUUCUCAUUAAAAGAUAAUCUCACUUAGUAGGUAAUGAUAGUUGCUUUCUUACAUAAUUGUCAAUUAUGUAUUUUAAACUGUACAAAGUCACCUGCCUUCUUCUUAUCCCAGGGAUAUCCUUCCUGUAGGAUAAUUAUAGAUUACAUGAAAAUACUUCAACUUGUUUGUUUUUAGCCUCUUUCUUAGUCUUAUUAUUUCUCUACUGUGGAAAGAACAGGGAGAUAUACAAUUAGAUUUUGCUAAAUGGUUUCUAGAAUAAUUACAUCAUCUUUUUUUUUUUGAUUACCUGUUGUCUGAAUAAUUUUGAUAAUUUUUAUGUGGGAGCUCCCUGGGCUUUCUAAGAGCUUUUUACAUUUAUGCAUUUUUAUUUAUUUAUUUAUUUAUUGAGAUUGACAUGACCAAACUCGAGCUAGCCUUCAAUAUCUGGGAGAGGUAGGUGUGUGUGUGUGUGUGGGUGUGUGUGUGUGUGUGUGUGUGUGUGUGUGGUGUAGGUAUAUAUACUUGUUGCUUUGCAUCCACCUGAACUUUGUGUUCCCAAAUCUUUUUUUUCUUUAGAAGUUAGAACAUAAUUUGAGACUCAAUAGUACAGAAAGAAAUGGUUUCUGUGAUUUUUUUCAUUGACUUUUCUUCUUGCAUUUUGCUGUAUAUUCUGUAUAAUUCAGGUACUAUUUGAACUUGCAAGAUCUUGUCUAGUUGGGCAUUAUCAGCCAUCCCCUUAUGUUUCUCACUUGUUGCCAUAUUUAUUUCCUGCAAAUUAAAUCUCAUAAUUAUGAAGUCUCCAGAAGGGUAAGUUUUUUUAUUUUCAAAGAUGUUAGCAUCAAAGGCCCUCUAUUACCCCACCACCACCUUCUUUGAUAUUUGUAAGUAAGUGCAUAUUUUAAGUAGUAGUUUCUGUGGCAUGUAGAAUUGUGGAAUUGCGUAUGCUUUGUAAAGGGGAUUUAUUUAAAGAAUAAAAGUGAGCCUUUUUGGUGGGUGUUCCAGAAGAUUUGUUCACAGACUUAGUUUCAUUUAGUGUGCUACCUUAAACAGUCUUGAAGCUGGAAUAUGCUCAUAAACAAUCUUUUAUAUUAAUUUAGGAGAGAAAAAAAUUCUCCAUUGAUGAUUGUAUUAUUUCCAACUGUAGUUGAAAAAUGCAUGACUGUUAUUCUUCAUUUGGCAUCCAUAAUCUAAUUUUUAAGCAAGGACAUUUUCAGAAGAAAAACUAAAUCUCCAGAAGGUUCACUGAAGCUCAAGUUGAUACAACGUAUAAAAUAACAGAGCCAGAGUUUCGGCUGUAAAUGUAAUUCACAUUCAGAGUUUCGGCUAUAAAUCCAAUUCAUGUUCAGAGUUUUGACUGUAAAUCCAGUAUUCUCACCACUAGGGCAGAGCUACACUUUGGAAGUUGUCCCCUUAAACUUCAUCAAAAACAUAUGGUGAGUGCCUGCAUAUAAUUUUUGAAAUUGCAUAAUGUAGUUUAAAAUAGCAGAGUAACUAUCAUUAGGAGCUCAUAGUUUUAUAUGAAGCUCUUUGUUAGCUGGGACGAAACAGUUUCUGCUUACUUUUUAUUAUUUCCUGAUCAUUCUCUUAGAUAACAAGGUGAGCAAGUUGAAAUCACUUAAAGAUGGAUGUCAUAAUCAGCGAGGACUAGAGAAAUUAUAUUGUUUGCCUCCUAAAUAUACAAUUUAAUCAUGUCAUGCGUGGGCCAUCAUAUUUUGAGCAUUAAUAGGUCUACUAUCUCCUUCACUGUUCAUUAGUCUGGAGAACAAAUUUACAUCUCCCUUGUUCUCUCUUCCUCUUUUAAUGAAAGUCCUUUUAAAAGUAUUUAUUAUUUUGAUCUGAGAUUGUAGUUACAAAAUUCACAUCAAACAUCUAGAUAUCACUUCAUUUCUCUUAGCUUUUGAUCUCAUAGCUGAAGACAAAAUAUUAGUCCAACAACCACAACAACAAAGCAUGGAGUUUUCUGCUAAGUUCUGUUGUUUUGAUUUAAUUAAUAUUUUCCUUUCAGUUAUUUUCUUCUCUGCACAUUGGUCAGGGGUGAUAUUUUGGGGGUUAUAAACCCUUAAUUUUAAAGCUGCUGCUUUUAGGUUGAGCUGGAAUAUCUAAUGGGCAAGGUGUGUGUCUUCGGUGCAUCUUGACUGCAAUGGAGUGAGAUUCUUUUUGAAAGCAACUCCAUGCCACGAGAGCAGCGGGAAUGUGGUGGCCAGAUGAACAGAGACACAUGGUGGGAUGUGGCCAGAGUUGUGGAGAUGGGGUCUCUGGUUCGUGGAGAUGCGUCAGUAGGUCCCUGGGAGUAAUCAUUGCUUACUAAUAUUUUUCUCUUCUUUGAUGAGAAAAAAAAAUUCUACUAAACUCUUUAUAACUGGGUUUUGUUUGCUGGUCAGAUAUACUACUUCAAAAUUAAACUAUUUGGCUUUUUUUUUUCAAAUAUUUUUUAUUGAGGUGCAUUUGGGGUAGGAAACGUACAUAAUACAGAUAUAAAUAUACUUUCUCUCCUAAAUGGGUAAAAUGUGAGUUCUAUUGCUAGUUCUGAAAUAGGACUAAAACAUGUAUAUGGAACUGAUGUGACAAAGACAAGUCAAGAUUAAUGGACACAGCUAACACGAGUAAGCAGAAAAUGCAACUCUUAUCUGCAAUUGGUAACCAUAGUUACAGUGUGAUUAUUAUUUUCAACUUAGAUUUAUAUGGAAUGGGGAGAUAGUAACGCUUAUCCUGUUGUAGUUUAUCCUGUGUGUAUUGUUCUGAUAGGAAUUAUGGUUGGUAGAUGGCCAUAAUUGUGGGCCAUUUGCUUUUAUUAAAAAACAGUUGAAAUUCAUAUGAUCAAGGUUUCAUUUUUAUUCAGCAUUACUACAUAGUGGUAUAUGUGCUUCAGUACUUUUAAAUACUUCAAAUAAGCUUGCUACUUUUAAUGCUGCCAAUAAGUUUUACGAGUUUUUAUUUAAAUUUAUGAUUGGAUUUGAAUGGCAGGUCCAGAAUGACGCAUAUUUCAGUAGGUAAGACGGAAGGUUGUUGGUUAUUUUAAAAAAUAACAUUUAGAUUGUAGAUAAUUUCUCUUUUAGGUAUUUUAAAUAUUUGAUUAUAAAAACUUGGCAGAAAAAUUUAAAUGCAGAAAAAAUAUAAAGAAGAAAAUAAAAAUCUACCAUAGUCCCACUACUUAACGAUCACAUAGUAGUAUAUAUCCAUCUAUACUUUUUUUUCUAAAUACAUACACAUACAAAUGUGUGUUUCUUUCAAAAUGAGCAUGAAAUAUUUUAAAACAAUAUACUUGCAUAUAUAAUAAUUAGAUUUUAAAUAUAUACUAGAAAGCCCCCUAAGUCAGUCUUAUUCUUUCUUAACCAAAAGAAAAACUCAAGUUUAAGUUCUUCGAAUGCCCAUAAUUGCUGGGGGCCAAAGAAUGAACUCACAGAUCGUGAAAUCAUCCAGUCUUAGUGUUUUAUUUGCACAUCCCUGAAGUUUUUAAUGUAAAGCUGGGAAAUGUGUUUUGCAUUUGAUUCCACCCGCUGUUCCUGUCGCUGACUCUCAUUUUCACAGGGAAGCAGAGCCAUCUCUCGCCCUCACCCUAUACUUGGCAGCCUUCUCCUCGGAGAGACUGAAGCAAUCUGAGGAAACCUUGGCCCUGCCCUCUGGCAUCGGAAUGCCGUAAAGAUCUCUGAUUCUGCCUGUGCGCGUGGGGCCAGGGGCACUGUCUCGCAGUCCCCACAGAGUUCAGGCACAUCCAUCCUCUCUAGGUCUGUAGUCCUCUUCCUUUCCUGCCUCACCCAGACUUUUUCAAAAACUGCUAAAGGACAGUGUAUUUGUAUCUAUCUGCCCUAAACUCUAGCAAGUUUGAAAUUUCUUUGGAAAUUUUGGAAGUUUUGAUUUUAUUUAAAAAGUUGAUGUGAACUUGGCAUUCUGCCCUAUCACGUGUCAGUAGUGUUUGUUUUCAUAGAAGGACAAUUUGUGAAGCCAUUGCCACUCACCCUCCCUAGGGUAAACGGGUACUGGAGGAAGAGGUGCGCAUUUAUCCUGGGGUCUUUAUCAUACUCCAGUCUCCUUGCCCAUAGCCUGUGUACUUGAGAUUGAGAAGCCACGAAAGUCAUUCAUUCAGGGAAGUUCAUCGUCUAGUGCUCCUAAAUGCAUAUGGUGGGGAAGUCAUGCCUUUCUUAAGGCCACCGUCAUGCUCACCAUUUUGUUCUCUUCACAACAGGGUUCCAGUUGAGACAAGAGCGUUAUUGCCUCAGUUGUGUCUUCUGGAUCCUGUUAGUAAAUGUAAAACCCCAAAGUUAUAUUUUUGCAUUUGAAUAUAGAAUUUAUAUGUAGACAAAAAAUACUUAGGCAUUUGGAAAUUGUUGAAGCAUUGGAAAGUAGAUCUAUAUAUCCUGGGUUUUCUUUAUAAAAUGAACAGAUGUAAGCUCUUAAUGUAGUUAUUUGUAAAAAUUUAGAAAAUAGAAAUAUAAACAAAAAAUCCGUAGCCAUUCCAUCACUCAGACAAAAAUCACUAUUAACAUAUUUUUAGGCAUUUCCUUCCAAGAUUUUUUCCAUUGAAAUACAUGAGUGGGAAUAUCUGUGGGUGUCUAUAGACAUGUCUAUGGGUAUUACAAAAUUGGAAACAUGUUUUAUAUUCAGUUUUGUAUCUUCUUUUUAUUUGAUAUUAUUUUGUGCACAUUCUCUGAUGUCAUUAAAUAUUCUUCAGUUGUGCUAAAAAUAUUCUCAAUUGUGUGUUCUAUUACUUAUUAUACACUAAAUAAUACCUACCUUACAGCUGUGUAGGGGGAGGAGGAGGGAGAACUAUAGGUUGUUGCCCUUAUUAUCAGGAUUUUCAAGUAGCUUUCCCAAUACUUUAUGAGUUCAGUGUGGAAAAGAAUGCCCUUAUCAGCAGUGAAUGCUAUGACUUUUCCAAAUGCUGGGUAAAUUUAAAAUCUUGGUUUUUCUUACUUUAUAAUGAUGAGUUAUUCAUUCACCAAAUAUUUAGUGUGUUUCUACUAUAUAUUAAAGAAUGUGUGAACAGUAGAGAAAGAAUAAGAUGUAGACCCAUCCUUAGUGCAUAGGUAGUUGCAUGACCUAAUCUCUGUUGAAGGUAACACUGCUGUUCUCUAAAACAUGAAUAUUUUAGGGGAAGAACCAUUCAUCGUUUUGAUAACUUUGUAAAAUGCUGCAACUAUAUCUCAAAAAUGGAGCUCUGAGAAGUGCAGCAAAAAAAAAAAA